GUGGGGAAUAUUGCACAAUGGGGGAAACCCUGAUGCAGCCAUGCCGCGUGUGUGAAGAAGGCCUUCGGGUUGUAAAGCACUUUCAGCGAGGAGGAAAGGAUGCUGGCUAAUAUCCAGCAUCUGUGACGUUACUCGCAGAAGAAGCACCGGCUAACUCCGUGCCAGCAGCCGCGGUAAUACGGAGGGUGCAAGCGUUAAUCGGAAUUACUGGGCGUAAAGCGCACGCAGGCGGUUGGAUAAGUUAGAUGUGUAAGCCCCGGGCUCAACCUGGGAAUUGCAUUUAAACCUGUCCAGCUAGAGUCUUGUAGAGGGGGGUAGAAUUCCAGGUGUAGCGGUGAAAUGCGUAGAGAUCUGGAGGAAUACCGGUGGCGAAGGCGGCCCCCUGGACAAAGACUGACGCUCAGGUGCGAAAGCGUGGGGAGCAAACAGGAUUAGAAACCCCAGUAGUCC
rnacentral:rRNA from 1 species